rnacentral:tRNA from 1 species
GGCGUCGAUGGCGGGUUGGGCCUGCGCUUCGUCGCUCAAAUUGACGAAAACGUCGGGAUCUUCACCGAACAACGGUA